rnacentral:rRNA from 1 species
CAGUCGCCACGGGAAUACGGAGGGGGCUAGCGUUGUUCGGAAUUACUGGGCGUAAAGCGCACGUAGGCGGCUUUGUAAGUUAGAGGUGAAAGCCCGGAGCUCAACUCCGGAAUUGCCUUUAAGACUGCAGAGCUAGCAGGUGAGAGAGGUGAGUGGAAUUCCGAGUGUAGAGGUGAAAUUUGUAGAUAUUCGGAAGAACACCAGUGGCGAAGGCGGCUCACUGGCUCAUACUGGACGCUGAGGUGCGAAAGCGUGGGGAGCAAACAGGAUUAGAUACCCGCGUAGUCCCUGUCUCUUAUAC